GACGAACGCUGGCGGCGUGGAUUAGGCAUGCAAGUCGAACGGUAUCAUCCUUUCGGGGGUGAGAGAGUGGCGAACUGGUGAGUAACACGUAGGUUAUCUACCCUCAAGACGGGGACAACCCAGGGAAACUUGGGCUAAUACCGGAUGUGAGCAACUUUUAGUUGUUUGAAAGGUGGCGUAAGCUGUCGCUUGGGGAUGAGCCUGCGUCCUAUUAGUUAGUUGGUGAGGUAACGGCUCACCUAGGCAAUGAUAGGUAGGCGGCCUUAACGGGUGGUCGCCCACACUGGUACUGAGACACGGACCAGACUCCUACGGGAGGCAGCAGUGAGGAAUAUUGGUCAAUGGGCGAGAGCCUGAACCAGCCAAGUCGCGUGAAGGAAGAAGGUCUUAUGGAUUGUAAACUUCUUUAGCAGGGGAAUAAAGGUUAUUACGAGCUAAUAAUUUGCAGGUACUCUGCGAAAAAGGAUCGGCUAACUCCGUG
rnacentral:rRNA from 1 species